rnacentral:rRNA from 1 species
UACGAAGGGGGCUAGCGUUGUUCGGAAUUACUGGGCGUAAAGGGCGCGUAGGCGGUCCUUCAAGUCAGGCGUGAAAGCCCCGGGCUCAACCUGGGAACCGCGCUUGAGACUGGCGGGCUAGAGUUCGGGAGAGGAUGGUGGAAUUCCCAGUGUAGAGGUGAAAUUCGUAGAUAUUGGGAAGAACACCGAUGGCGAAGGCAGCCAUCUGGACCGACACUGACGCUGAGGCGCGAAAGCCAGGGGAGCGAACGGG